ensembl:lncRNA
UUUUUUUUUCUUCAUUUUUCGGUCUAAAUAUUAAAUAUCCAGAAAAUCUAUUAUGUUCAACAAUACAACUUAUCUGCAGAAACUCAUCCAGAAAGAAUGAAGGAUUUGAGUCGUCUUCCAUUGGUGUUAAAAAAAAGAACAGAUAUACUUCCGGGAAGGACGAUGUAUUUACUGCCUGUGUAUUAUAUUUCCAAAGUAUGCUCAGGAUUAAAGCCCUUAACAACUUACCUUAUGCACUGCAGUCAGGUGUUCAGCAAAAGAGACUAUUAUAAAAUUUUCAUUCUAAAAAAUUAAUGCUCAUUGUUUUAAGUAAACUUUUCAUUGUUAUUAAAUGUGUAGCUGUCAAUAGUGUGAAUGAUUGUUUCGAAGUGAAAAUAAAGAGUGACUAAUGGCGAUUUAUUAAAAUAAAACAGAAAAGAAAAGAAACACACAUCAAGGUCACAUCCUAAUGGUUUUUCUUUUUCUUUUUUUUUUCAAAUAAAAUUUGAUGCUGUUGUGUUGACAAAAUAUUAAACUCCAUUCACGGUAGCUUAUCCAAAACAGAGUGACUUUGUGACUCAUAUGUUUUUCAAUCUGUCACCCUGAAAAUUUCACAUGUGACUGGAUGAAUGAAGGUGGGGGUGUUAGUCAGCAGCAUUAGUGGGGGUCCAGGCAACUGUACUUCCUCAGCUAAACACCUAUCUUAGGCUUCUAUAACUAUAUAUGAAAUUAAGUCUGGUUUAGCAAUAAAAAAGUUGAACACCACCACUGCUGAUUUGUUACUCCAACUAAAAUCCAAAUCAGUUAUUUGGUUAACAUAAGUGUAGUGCUUCUGGAUCAGUCAUAUAACCCUGGCUAAUGAGGACACUGACUUUCGACCGGAUGAGUCUAUAUAGGGCAGGUUUUGGAAGUAAUCAUCAUAUCUCUUUAACACUGAAAGACGCCACUCAAAAGUUUUUCAACCCUUAAGUCACACGUAUAUGAAAUCAAGCAUCUAGCCAUAGAGUCUGCCUUUAAAAGCAUUUGUGAAACAAUGGUUUGUUCUAAAGAGCUUCUGUAAUAAGAUCCCAUCGUUGCAACAAUUCAGUUGGUGAAAUUUCUUAUCUCCUACAAAUUCCACUCAAACUGUUCUACAUGGCAUAUGUUUCCAUUGCAUAGCAGCUCUUGCUGGUGUAGUAUUUGGUAGGCUCAGUAUGUUUCUUGAUUGUAGUUUAAAAGCAUGAUGUACGGGAAUUCUAAAAAAUUUAAAUAAAUAGAAACAUGAUAAACUUAAGUGAGCUUUCUUUUUUUAGAGGAUACUAUCAUGUUUUUUCCAAUCAGGAUCAUAAACCAGAUCAGAUAUUGUCAUGAGUGAUGUCUUGAGUCAGACUGUAGAUUUUCUUUCUUGCUCUGUCUCCUCUCACAGGGAGAAGAUGAUCUGCAGGAUCCUGCUACUCAUCAUCCUCACCUCAUGUGUCUCUGGAUCAUUUGUAGUCAAUGUGACACAGACCUGCUAUCAGGCAGAGGAGAACCACAACAUCACACUGGAGUGGACGUUCACCACCAAACCUGACAGAUCCACCAAAACUCUCAACGUCCUCUGUGAACUGAUAACUGAGCGUACAGAUUCAGUCCUGUAUCGUGUUCAAGAAGGUGUUGAGGUGUCAGAGUCUCAGGAUGAAAAGUUUUCAGGACGAGUUGAGAGUGACAAAGACGCCCUCAGAGAAGGACGAAUCAGACUUCAACUGUUUAGACUCAGGACUGAUGACUCGGGUCUGUACCUGUGUGAACUGAACACAGAUUAUGGCUUUGGCUCAGCCAGAUGUAGACUCAGCAUCAGUGCUUCGGAUGACCCCAAACGUCCAAGUCCAACAGUGAACACACAACCAGAGAGUCGAGGAUGGCUCAACCUGUAUCCUUUACUUAUACUGCCAGCAGCAGCUUUAUUGAUCAAACUCUGUUAUAAAAUCAUAAAACGAAAACAUAACCUAAAUCUAAACAGUCACCGCCUAGGCAGCGAAUGCAGUGAAGCAGUAGUCAACUUGAAUAAUUCAGAUGCCACUCACCUUGCUGCUUCAUUAGAAGCCACAUCCAUCAUCUUCUGAGUGUGGACAUGACUUCCCUGAACUCCAAAGAUUGUCAUGUUAACAGCUGGGUCUGCAGUGGAAGAUUUGUGGGAGCAUCAACCUCAGUGAGAGCUGAGAAACACUGUCUGCAGUCUGUAGCCAUCAUCAAAAACACUGAUGGAAACAUUCAAAGCUCUUGUCACGUAUAUCAUUAAUAAUAUUUCCUUCCUCUUUUGGUUCUAACAUUUGUUUUUGUUAGAUAUGGUAUGAGGAAUCUUUAAUUUUUGUCCAUUAGCAUCCAGAGUGAUUGAAAUCACUUGUUGUUCUCCCAUCAGCUGUUAUAAAUUAGUACUGGUUAAAAUGUGCCUGAACUCAAGUUGUUAAAGGAAUUCUAAGUGUUACAGUGAACUCCUAAUAAUUUGACUAUGGAUCACCAUAGGUAGAAUUUACUUUUUCUAAAGUUAAUGUUUAUGUGUAUAUAUUGUAAACAAGUCCUUAUUUAUAUGAAAGAAGUUAUGAUUCUUCUGUAUAUGUGUGUGUCCAAAUCAUUUUAUCAAAGGGUCAGAAGAUCUUAAAGAGGUCUAUAAUACCAAGUGUAAUCUAACAUGUUUGGUACUAUUACUUUACAAGGUGUAUUACAAGAAGGACAGGAGUUUGAUAAUUAUUUAAAAUAUAUAAAACACUGAAUGUGUACAUAUAAAGCAACAAAGUUGUUUACGCCAACUCUUAAUCGUAACAUUAUUCUACUUAAAGAAUAUUUAGUUGGCGUUGAAAUGACUUUUUCUCUCUCAGCACUGAAAAUCUAACACUUGAUUCUGCUGAGUUUUUCUGCUAUCAGCUUCUGUCUCUGCUUUCAUAAAAUAAAAUGAUCGAUCUUUUUGAUCAACAACACAAACAAUGGUGGUGACACUUUCUGUCGAAAAACACUGCGGCAUGAUGGGAACAGCUGCAGUUGUUUACAUAAAUCAGGGGUGUUGAACUCCAGGUUUUGAGGGCCGGUGUCCUGCAGGUUUUAGAUCUCACCCUGGGUCAACACACCUGAAUCACAUGAUUAGUUCAUUACCAGGCCUCUGGAGAACCACUUUAACUGGUUUUGAACUGGUUCUAACUGAUUAUAGUUGUUGUCAGCCAGUUGUGGCAGAUGACUGCCCCUCCCUGAGCCUGGUUCUGCAGAAGGUUUCUCCCACUUUAAAGUAGUGAUGGGCAGAUGAAGCUUCAUGAAGCACUGAAGCUUUUCAUCCAAUUGGUUCACCCCAGUGCAAAGCUUCUUGAAGCUUCAUUUGCUCUAGUAGGACACCUACUGGACGUAAAAAUAUUAGUUGGCAUGAAUUUGAAGUGUGUGGCCUUUUGCACACAGCCUGUAAAUGUCAACAACAAAAGGAGUGUGUAAAACAUCUAUAUUGUAUUGAUGGCAGUAUACUGUGUAUAUUUAUACUGGCAGUAUGGAAAAUGAUCAUUUGGAAAUGCUUAAAAUGGAAAUAAUCAUUUACUGUGAGGUGAGGUGUGGUUGGGGUAUGGACAGUGGUUGUGCUCUUGUAACGUUGAGGUAUGGACAGCUACACACUGAGGCGUCAGUCCUGCCCAUAUUCUAUUCAGUAAAAACUAAAUUUUCACUGCUUUUAUAACCUUUAGUGGGGAGAGCAUAGCUAGGAUUUAAUGAUUUAACAAAUCUUUUGAAUCCUUUGUCCUCCACAAUGCUAAAUGGCUGGGAGUCCUCAAUCACCAUGCUAACCAG